GAUGAACGCUGGCGGCGUGCUUAACACAUGCAAGUCGAACGAGAAGUGAAGACGGAAACCUUCGGGCGGAAGGCUUUAUUUCGAGUGGCGGACGGGUGAGUAACGCGUGGGUAACCUGCCUCAUACAGGGGGAUAGCAGUUGGAAACGACUGUUAAUACCGCAUAAGACCACAGCACCGCAUGGUGCGGGGGUAAAAACUCCGGUGGUAUGAGAUGGACCCGCGUUCGAUUAGCCAGUUGGCGGGGUAACGGCCCACCAAAGCGACGAUCGAUAGCCGAGCUGAGAGGAUGACCGGCCACAUUGGGACUGAGACACGGCCCAAACUCCUACGGGAGGCAGCAGUGGGGAAUAUUGCACAAUGGGGGAAACCCUGAUGCAGCGACGCCGCGUGAGUGAAGAAGUAUUUCGGUAUGUAAAGCUCUAUCAGCAGGGAAGAAAAUGACGGUACCUGAGUAAGAAGCCCCGGCUAACUACGUG
rnacentral:rRNA from 1 species